CCUACGGGAGGCAGCAGUGGGGAAUAUUGGGUAAUGGGCGCAAGCCUGACCCAGCAACGCCGCGUGAAGGAAGAAGGCUUUCGGGUUGUAAACCUCUUUUCUGGGGGACGAACACAUGGCGGUACCCCAGGAAUAAGCCACGGCUAACUACGUGCCAGCAGCCGCGGUAAUACGUAGGUGGCAAGCGUUAUGCGGAUUUAUUGGGUGUAAAGGGCGUGUGGGCGGGAAUGCAAGUCAGAUGUGAAAACUCAGGGCUUAACCCUGAGCCUGCUUUUGAAACUGUGUGUCUUGAGUGCUGGAGAGGCAAGCGGAAUGCCGGGUGUAGCGGUGAAAUGCGUAGAUAUACGGAAGAACACCAGUGGCGAAGGCGGCUUGCUGG
rnacentral:rRNA from 1 species